rnacentral:rRNA from 1 species
UCGUGAAUCAUCGAGUUCUUGAACGCACAUUGCGCCCCUCGGCAUUCCGGGGGGCAUGCCUGUUUGAGCGUCG